UUCUUGUUAGUAUAGUGGUGAGUAUUCCCGCCUGUCACGCGGGAGACCAGGUUCAAUUCCCUGAUGGGAAG
rfam:Chlorocebus sabaeus isolate 1994-021 chromosome 15, whole genome shotgun sequence.